UACGUAGGGGGCAAGCGUUAUCCGGAUUUACUGGGUGUAAAGGGAGCGUAGACGGCAGCGCAAGUCUGGAGUGAAAUGUCGGGGCUCAACCCCGAAACUGCCUCUAAUACUGUUGGACUAGAGAAUAGUUGCGGUAGGCGGAAUGUAUGGUGUAGCGGUGAAAUGCUUAGAGAUCAUACAGAACACCGAUUGCGAAGGCAGCUUACCAAACUAUAUCUGACGUUGAGGCACGAAAGCGUGGGUAGCAAACAGG
rnacentral:rRNA from 1 species